AGUCGGGGUGGGCGCAGCUCUCCGGUGUCCCGCGCGCGCGGGUGCUGCCAGCCAGCCUGUGUCUGAGACGUGCCAGGUAGAGUGUCGGUGGAGUUGUCCGGUGACCUUCUGACCUUCCUGGAACUCGGGGGUUACGACUUUGGCCUGGAACGACAAACAGGUGGCCCGAGAGGGCAGGAAAGGAAAAACCUUUCGGAUUUAGGGACUCGUUCAGUGGCUUCUGCGGUUCACGAACGAGACGGAUGCAGGGAGUUCCUGGACGGUGCAGUGAGCCGCGCUCCGGCGUGCGGAUCCCUCGGUCUAGGGGUGGAAAGCUCACUGGACGCAGACCCACCAACCAGAGAGACAGACCCGAGGGUUCUGUCCCAGGCACAGCCAGCCUGCAGGAGCCAGGGUGCACACAGACGACCAAGUUGUCUUUAGAGAGACACCCGGUUGUGAAGAAGGCAUUAGCGGGUGAAGAUGUGAGGGCAUGGCCAUGCCCAGCAGUAGAUGGCCAACACAAAACGAACUCAAUGGAAUCUCUGGAGAUGGCUGCGGGACACAGGAAGACUUCCAUCGACAGCACAGGGCUCCUGGGAAGAUUUGAUGUGGUGGUCUUCUCUGAAGCUCCGUUCUGCUCUCUUCCAUCUUCCAGGUCAUAGCUCAGAUACCUCACUUCCUUCAGCAUAAUCUCAUGGAGUCCUCUUCUCAGAAAAGCUGUCAGAGCAUUGCAGUUAAUUGCGCUUGUCUACACCUGAUUAUGUUGGUAAUGUGUAUGCUUAAGUAUUUCUUGUCUGUCUCCCUCACAUGAAACUGCCAUAGAUAGGGGAUUUUGUCUUGUGCAAGAAACAACUGACAUAAACUUGUUGAAUGUAUAAAUAGGGUUCUUAGUCCAUGACUACAGAAGAAAGACUGUUUUAACUUGGUUUUACAAUAUCCUCUUCCUAUAGUGUGAUCUUUUUUUCUUUUUUCUUUUUGGUUUUUCAAGACAGGAUUUCUCUGUA